UCACAGUGUACUGACUGACGGUCCGUCCUCUCCAGAUCUCCCAUAAGAGACUGCACCUCUUGGAUGUGCCUAAUCCGGAACACAUACAACAUUAGUGACUGGGAUCCCGACAUAUGGUCAUGGGGUUCCUUCUGUCUGUCCUUUAUCUUUCAGCCCUGAGGAAAGGAUGAGAUGAGCUUACUGGUUUUCCUGCACACCUGAGCACCACAGGCACAAACUGGAAUCCAGACUCCAGGAGCAAAUUAAUCAUUUCAGCUCCGCUGCCCGCUUAAUUGACCAUCACACGUGUACAUACACCUUCUCUACACCCGAGCAUCUCAUCAUCCAGCAUGAGGACCUCAGCCACUGUCCUAGUCCACCCCAGCCUCUGAGUUUGGCCCCCCAUAGAGAAGGCUUCCCCGGCCGUCCAGGCUGCAGUUCCAGCGCUCAUUCCUGAACUGAUAACGACACUCCAGUAGACUGAGGCGCACAGAUUCCCGCAGCGUCUCGGCCAAACCGGGCUCCCUGCGAC